rnacentral:rRNA from 1 species
GGGUCCUACGGGCGCAGCAGUGGGGGAUAUUGCACAAUGGGGGAAACCCUGAUGCAGCAACGCCGCGUGAGUGACGAAGGUCUUCGGAUUGUAAAACUCUGUUCUUGGUGAAGAUAAUGACGGUAGCCAAGGAGAAAGCUCCGGCUAACUACGUGCCAGCAGCCGCGGUAAUACGUAGGGAGCGAGCGUUGUCCGGAAUUACUGGGUGUAAAGGGUGCGUAGGCGGGCUUUUAAGUCAGCGGUAAAAAUUCGGGGCUCAACCCCGUCCGGCCGUUGAAACUGGGGGCCUUGAGUGGGCGAGAAGA